rnacentral:rRNA from 1 species
CCCGAUGAACCUGAAUAUCCGUUAUGGAAAAUUCAACAUUAAUAUUAUAAUAUAUAUUUUUGUAAUAUUAUAAAAAUAGUGUGCAAUUUUUCCAUAUAAGGACAUUGUAAUCUGUUAGUGUAAUAUAAAUAUUUAUUAAAAGAUCUAAUUAAAGAGUUUAUUCAAAUUAGUUAUUUUCGAAUUUCUAACAUAGAAUAAAUUGAUUAGAUUUAAUAAAUCAUUGACAGUUUUAUUUGUAUAUAGUGCUUAAAUUCUUUAUUGAAUUUUACAAUGAUUGUUUUUUUUUUUUAUAUAAAAUUUUCAAUUGUUUGCACUUAUAUAAUUAACAAUGCUAUAAAUUCAGGAUACCUUCGGGACCCGUCUUGAAACACGGACCAAGGACUCUAACAUAUGUGCAAGUCAUUGGGUAUUUAUAAUAAAACCCAAUGGCAAAAUUAACUUAACUGUUUUUUUUUUUUUUUAAAUUUGGGAUUAGUUUAAAUUUUAUUAUGAAAUAUAAAUUCAAUCCCGGGGCGUUCUAUAUAGUUAUGUAUAAUAGUAUUUAUAUUAUUUAUGCCUCUAACUAGAGC